rnacentral:sRNA from 1 species
CUCCCUCUCCGUCCUUGUUCAAGCCCCUGCCCCCAAUCCCCGAGCCCGCAGAAGGUGUGGGUUGGGUGGCAUUGGGUGAAGUCAGAAUAAACACUUUCAGAAAGCCCCUAGCUUCACGUCUUAGGAGUCUCCCAACGUUCUGGACUAGGGUUUUAUGACCCCAGCUUCUCUAUUUUCUAGAACUCCUGAGCUGAGAAAACCGGAGGGAGGAAGCCCUUGUCUAGAACCGUUUCAUGCGUCAAUUAUAACACGUCAGAGCCUGGGCCCUCCUUCUGGGGAAAGAUUAACAAAGCCUUAGUUCCCUUGCUCCUGGAUUAACCAGUGGUUAGUGGAGAUGCGAGAAAAGACGCUAAUGCUGGCAAGGCAAUAACAUGGACUUCCUCGCCUUAUUCCUCUUUUCAUCAGAGAUGGCAAAACCAGCAGCUCCUUCUGCCUCGAGUUGCUUACUGAACUGAAAGGAAAGGAGUGUACACAAAGAAGCCAUAGGAACAAAAGCCAGCUGGUGGUGCGCAGGUAUAUCUCCACAAGCGUCCCGCACCGUUAAGAGACAGAACCACGGGGACUUGCUGGCCUCAGUCUAGCUCCAAGUUCAGUCUCAAGGGAACAAGGUGCCAGGACUGUACUGGGCACCAGGCAGCCAGGAGAGAAAGGGAGAAGGCAGAUCCACAUUCUAUCCACACUGGGAGGCAGAGACUUCUGGAGGGCCACAAGAGCUCUCAGGGAAGGAGUGGAUUCCUCAGUGUUCCCCAAGGUGCAGACCAGAGAAUACCAAAGGGUGCCAUGUCUUGCCUAUAAUGUGUUUGGAAUUCUUUGAGGCAAUGAAUGAAGCAAAAGAUGAUGAGAAGCAGAAUGAUGAGGUCUGGAAGACUACACUGCUCCACCAGCAAGGGUGGUGGGAAGGAAGGGGCUACAGCGACUGAGAAGGUGUUCAAUCCUGGAGAGUGGGUCCCACACUAAGUGGCUGAACGUCUGGACACCUGGAAGACACUGGGAUGACAGCUGUCGUCCACAAGAGAGAGGACGAGGCAUCACCCAGAAAGGGAGGAGAGAGUCACCUAAAGUAGGAAGCCCAAGACUGGCAUUGGUCCAGGUGGCUACACCCUACCAGAAGCUAGCCAUAUGGAAGUCAGGAGAGAUGUGCCAGCCAUAAAACCUGGUAUUCGGUGCUACUCAGAAAGCCAAAGCAGGAGAAUCACCUGAGUCCAGUAGUUCAACAUGUCGACCCUGAUUCUUAAGAAUUAAUUAGUUAAUUCAAGGAAGAAAAAAAACGCAGAGCCUCUGGGGGCCUUUAUGUUUGAAGAACACCUGGGUGUGGGCUGGGGAGGUAGCUUGGUCAGUAAAGUGCUCCAUGUGCCUCCACCCCCUUAUGCACACAACAAAGCAAAAGGAAACAAAGUAGCCGGUGAAGGGGGCUAAACCAGAGGAUAUGGCAGAACUGGGCCUCCGCACUGUGCCAGGCAAUGUGCUAAGAUCCUUCCUUAGUUCACUGGCGGUCAAUUCCUCCUCCUGCCUGGUCAAUUUACACUGUGGAGGUUAGGGAUUGAAAGUCUUCAGGCCUAAAGGCAAUUGCCCUCACCUGCUGGCCUCUCUUCUGCCCUACAGAUAAGGAAACUGGCCUGACAGUGUAGAGUAGCAUUCCCAGAGCCAGUUAGGACUGGCUUAGAGAUACUUUGUUUGCUUACUUUUUUUUUUCUUAGACAAGAUCUCUCUAUGUAGUUCUGACUGUCCUGAAACUCACUAUG